rnacentral:rRNA from 1 species
CCUACGGGAGGCAGCAGUGAGGAAUAUUGGUCAAUGGACGAGAGUCUGAACCAGCCAAGUAGCGUGAAGGAUGACUGCCCUAUGGGUUGUAAACUUCUUUUAUAAAGGAAUAAAACGAGGCACGUGUGCCUUUUUGCAUGUACUUUAUGAAUAAGGAUCGGCUAACUCCGUGCCAGCAGCCGCGGUAAUACGGAGGAUCCGAGCGUUAUCCGGAUUUAUUGGGUUUAAAGGGAGCGGAGAUGGGUUGUUAAGUCAGUUGUGAAAGUUUGGGGACCAAACGUAAAAUUGCAAUUGAAAAUGGCAGUCGUGAGUACAGUUGAGGUAGGCGGAAUUCGUGGUGUAGCGGUGAAAUGCUUAGAUAUCACGAAGAACCCCGAUUGCGAAGGCAGCUUACUAAACUGUGACUGACAUUGAUGCUCGAAAGUGUGGGUAUCAAACAGGAUUAGAUACCCUUGUAGUC